rnacentral:lncRNA from 1 species
GACUGCACAGGGUACAAGAUACCAGCUGAAGUGUUGAAUUUGCCUGUAAAACCUAACUCUUCUUCGAUUUCUUCGUCUUGGGCGAAACGUACGAGUGAUGGUCAAGCUAAUAAGUUAGUAGUGAAAGAUGAAGAAGAAAAAGAAGAAGAGCUUUACAAGCCUAAAAAAUGUAAGUCUAUAUAUCUCCAUUUGCCGACGCAUUGAGUUCAAUGAUGUAACAACAAUCUAAGAAUAUUUCUUCUUGACACUAGGGCAGGUGGUUUGAGUAUCAAUCUCACUUCAACUGACACCUAUAUAUGUUGUCAUCACCUUUAUGUUUUUCACUUAUGACUGUGCACGAUAGACCACCUAGUUGUUCCAUGUUGUCAUCACCUUUCACUAUGGUGCAGAAUCAGAAUUAUGUACUACUUAGGCAUUGCAGUUUGAUAUUUUUCAUUUUCUUUCAACAGGCUGACAUCUAGAAUGUGAUGGAUGCUAUUGGAUUAAGACUUUACGUUAUGCAAACAAUGGUUUCCUGUCUAUGCUUUGUACUCUCAAAGGUGAACUGGCUAUACUUGUCAGGAGUUUAAUUUUUUCUAUUCCUUGAGUUGAUUAUAACCAAUUAACAACAGACUUCACAUAGUAAGUUGUGAUGUUGAGAUCUGUUUUUUUAUAUAUAUAUGUUUUUUUUCCUUGGUUCCUAUUAACAAGAGUUUGUGUUCAAUAAAAAAAAAUGUGUUCAUUGAGUUUGAGAUUGUUAAUGCUUUGGGUAUGUUAUUUGUUAAUUUAAUGUACUAAUUAAUUGUAUUUUUGCUUAGUUAGUUAUUGUAGGUAAUGAACAAGUGCUAUGGCAUAAUGCAAUAAC